GAUGAACGCUGGCGGCGUGCCUAACACAUGCCAGUCGAGCGAACGGACGAGUAGCUUGCUUUUCUGAUGUUAGCGGCGGACGGGUGAGUAAUACGUGGAUAACCUACCUAUAUGACUGGGAUAACUUCGGGAAACCGGAGCUACUACCGGAUAAUCCUUUGAACCGCAUGGUUCAAAAGUGAAAGACGGUCUUGCUGUCACUUAUAGAUGGAUCCGCGCUGCAUUAGCUUGUUGGUAAGGUAACGGCUUACCAAGGCAACGAUGCAUAGCCGACGUGUGAGGGUGAUGGGCCACACAGGGACUGAGACACGGUCCAGACUCCUACGGGAGGCAGCAGUAGGGAAGCGUCCGCGAUGGGCGAAAGCCUGACGGAGCAACGCCGCGUGAGUGAUGAAGGUCUUCGGAUCGUAAAACUCUGUUAUUGGGGAAGAACAUAUGUGUAAGUAACUGAGCACAUCUUGACGGUACCUAAUCAGAAAGCCACGGCUAACUACGUG
rnacentral:rRNA from 1 species